rnacentral:rRNA from 1 species
GACGUAGGGUGCGAGCGUUGUCCGGAUUUAUUGGGCGUAAAGAGCUCGUAGGCGGCUCGUCGCGUCGACCGUGAAAACCCGCGGCUUAACCGCGGGCUUGCGGUUGAUACGGGCGGGCUAGAGUUCGGUAGGGGAGACUGGAAUUCCUGGUGUAGCGGUGAAAUGCGCAGAUAUCAGGAGGAACACCGAUGGCGAAGGCAGGUCUCUGGGCCACUACUGACGCUGAGAAGCGAAAGCAUGGGGAGCGAACAGG